UUUGCUGCGGCGGCGACGGUGGAGAGCUUGAACAAGAUAAAUGGCGGGGAGCUGGUGGACCUGUCGGUGCAGGAGCUGGUGGACUGCAGCACGGGUGUGUUCAGCUCGCCGUGCGGCUACGGGUGGCCCAAGAGCGCACUCCAGUGGAUCAAAUCAAAAGGUGGCCUCCUCACGGAGGCCGAGUACCCCUACUUGGCCAAGCGAGGCAGAUGCGAGGUGCACGACGCCGC
rnacentral:lncRNA from 1 species